GCCUGGGUGGCUCAGUAGGUUAAGCGUCUGACUUCGGCUCAGGUAAUGAUCUCACGGUUUGUGAGUUCGAGCCCCACCUUGGGCU
rnacentral:tRNA from 1 species